rnacentral:rRNA from 1 species
CUACGGGAUGCAGCAGUGGGGAAUAUUGCACAAUGGGCGCAAGCCUGAUGCAGCAACGCCGCGUGAGGGAUGAAGGCCUUCGGGUUGUAAACCUCUUUUAGCAGGGAAGAAGCGAAAGUGACGGUACCUGCAGAAAAAGCACCGGCUAACUACGUGCCAGCAGCCGCGGUAAUACGUAGGGUGCAAGCGUUGUCCGGAAUUAUUGGGCGUAAAGAGCUCGUAGGCGGUUUGUCACGUCUGCUGUGAAAAUCCAAGGCUCAACCUUGGACUUGCAGUGGGUACGGGCAGGCUAGAGUGCGGUAGGGGAGAUGGGAAUUCCUGGUGUAGCGGUGGAAUGCGCAGAUAUCAGGAGGAACACCAAUGGCGAAGGCACAUCUCUGGGCCGUAACUGACGCUGAGGAGCGAAAGCGUGGGGAGCGAACAGGAUUAGAUACCCUAGUAGUC